rnacentral:tRNA from 2 species
GGGGGUGUGGCGGAAUUGGUAGACGCAACGGACUUAAAAUCCGUUGAUCCUUUGGAUCGUGAGGGUUCAAGUCCCUCCAUCCCCA